CCUGUGUUCGCUGACGGCUGUGAUGGCCUCCACCAAGGUCAGGUGCUCGUGAAUCAUCAGGUACGCCAGCACCAGUGUGGAGGAGCGACUCAGGCCCAUGGCACAGUGGACAAAGACCCUGGCUGCAGCUGAAGAUCAAGAUCUAAAAGCAGCGCUAGGAAAUUCCUGUUGGGAUAGAUGGCCCUUUUCUUGAUGACUUUCCGAAUCGCGCUGUGGAGACUGAGGUGAUGAUACAGCAUUAGGUAUGCCAACACCAAGGUGGAAGAUCGACUCAUUCCCAUGAUGCAGUGCACCAGCACUUUCCCUGAGAGAAGGCAAAGUUAAAAGGGGAUAUCUGCAGAACCUCCAUCAUAUAGUAAUAAAAUACAUGACUUCCCA